GAGCACGUAGGUGGGUUUGUAAGUCAGAUGUGAAAGCCUUCUGUUCAACGGAAGAAUUGCAUCUGAAACUACAAACCUUGAGUGUAGGAGGGGAGAAUGGAACUUCUGGUGGAGCGGUGAAAUGCGUAGAUAUCAGAAGGAACGCCGGCGGCGAAAGCGAUUCUCUGGCCUAUUACUGACACUCAGUGUGCGAAAGCUAGGGGAGCAAACGGGAUUAGAUACCCCGGUAGUCCUAGCCGUAAACGAUGGGCACUAAGUAGAGGGAAUUACCGAUGUUCUCUCUGCCGUAGCUAACGCAUUAAGUGCCCCGCCUGGGGAGUACGGCCGCAAGGCUAAAACUCAAAAGAAUUGACGGGGGCUCGCACAAGCGGUGGAGCAUGUGGCUUAAUUCGAUGCAACGCGAAAAACCUUACCGGGGCUUGACAUGGUAGAAGUAGGAACCCGAAAGGGUAACGAACGGUAUCCAGUCCGUAGCUAUCACAGGUGUUGCAUGGCUGUCGUCAGCUCGUGUCGUGAGACGUUGGGUUAAGUCCCCCAACGAGCGAAACCCUUGUUUUUAGUUACCAGCGGGUUGUGCCGGGUACUCUAGAAAGACUGCCGUCGUCAAGACGGAGGAAGGUGGGGAUGACGUCAAGUCAUCAUGGCCCUUAUGCCCCGGGCUGCACACGUGCUACAAUGGUCGGUACAAACGGAAGCGAAGCCGAGAGGUGAAGCGAAUCC
rnacentral:rRNA from 1 species